rnacentral:rRNA from 1 species
UACGUAGGUGGCGAGCGUUGUCCGGAUUUACUGUGCGUAAAGGGAGCGUAGGCGGACUUUUAAGUGAGAUGUGAAAUACCCGGGCUCAACUUGGGUGCUGCAUUUCAAACUGGAAGUCUAGAGUGCAGGAGAGGAGAAUGGAAUUCCUAGUGUAGCGGUGAAAUGCGUAGAGAUUAGGAAGAACACCAGUGGCGAAGGCGAUUCUCUGGACUGUAACUGACGCUGAGGCUCGAAAGCGUGGGGAGCAAACAGGAUUAGAUA